rnacentral:rRNA from 1 species
UACGUAGGGGGCAAGCGUUGUCCGGAAUCAUUGGGCGUAAAGAGCGUGUAGGCGGUUAUACAGGUCCGCUGUGAAAACUGGAGGCUUAACCUUCAGACGUCGACGGAAACCGUAUGGCUAGAGUCCGGAAGAGGAGAGUGGAAUUCCUGGUGUAGCGGUGAAAUGCGCAGAUAUCAGGAAGAACACCAAUGGCGAAGGCAGCUCUCUGGGACGGUACUGACGCUGAGACGCGAAAGCGUGGGGAGCGAACAGG